ACGCUAGCUACAGGCUUAACACAUGCAAGUCGAGGGCAGCGGGUUGAAAGCUUGCUUUCAAUGCCGGCGACCGGCGCACGGGUGCGUAACGCGUAUCAAACCUGCCUCAUACUCGGGGAUAGCCUUGCGAAAGUAAGAUUAAUACCCGAUGUUGUUGCUUUCUCGCAUGGGAAAUUAACCAAAGAUUUAUCCUCAUGAGAUGGUGAUGCGUCCGAUUAGGUAGUAGGCGGGGUAACGGCCCACCUAGCCUUCGAUCGGUAGGGGUUCUGAGAGGAAGGUCCCCCACACUGGAACUGAGACACGGUCCAGACUCCUACGGGAGGCAGCAGUGAGGAAUAUUGGUCAAUGGGCGAGAGCCUGAACCAGCCAAGUAGCGUGCAGGAUGACGGCCCUCCGGGUUGUAAACUGCUUUUAGUUGGGAAUAAAAAAAGGGACUUGUCCCUUCUUGUAUGUACCUUCAGAAAAAGGACCGGCUAAUUCCGUGCCAGCAGCCGCGGUAAUACGGAAGGUCCAGGCGUUAUCCGGAUUUAUUGGGUUUAAAGGGAGCGUAGGCGGAUUGUUAAGUCAGCGGUUAAAGGGUGUGGCUCAACCAUGCAUUGCCGUUGAAACUGGCGAUCUUGAGUGCAGACAGGGAUGCCGGAAUUCGUGGUGUAGCGGUGAAAUGCUUAGAUAUCACGAAGAACUCCGAUCGCGAAGGCAGGUGUCCGGGCUGCAACUGACGCUGAGGCUCGAAAGUGUGGGUAUCAAACAGGAUUAGAUACCCUGGUAGUCCACACAGUAAACGAUGUAUACUCGCGGUUUGCGAUAGAUUGUAAGCCGCCAAGCGAAAGCAUUAAGUAUACCACCUGGGGAGUACGCCGGCUACGGUGAAACUCAAAGGAAUUGACGGGGGCCCGCACAAGCGGAGGAAC
rnacentral:rRNA from 1 species